UACCCAACAUGACCGCAUCUCAUAAAUUAAUUGUUAGGUAAUUGGGCAUAAGGCAUACCCAUUUAUGUCUUGUGUCGUGUUCUCAUCCUUUAACCUUCUAGUUGUUACCUCCAAAUCUUGCUGUCAUCUUUGCUUGCUUAAUUUUGUCUUGCACAUAAUCCUUGUACAUGCAAGACUUACCUAUGUCAGGUGAGAUUUC
rnacentral:lncRNA from 1 species